rnacentral:misc_RNA from 1 species
AAUAAAUAAAAUAAAAAUAAAUAAUUAUGAUUACAUCCUUUUUUGUAUAUAAUUUUAAAAUAUAAUUGAUUAUAUUAUGUAAUUGCUAUUUCAUUGCAUUAAUUUUUUUGUUAUCAGAUAAAGUAAUCAAAUCUACAAUAUAAUCAUGAUUAUAUUAUACUUUUGAUUACAUCAUAUCAAACAUGGCAUUUGAUUAAUGAGUCACAAUAAUGGUCAUGCAUGUUAUGGGGUUUGGCCAUUCAGUGCGUAUCAAUUUCAAGUUUACUCAUUUUCUUCAAUCUUAAUUUACCUAAAAAUUGUUUGCUGAUGCCUAUACUGAUGCACACUCAUGAAUCUGUUGUGUUCCAGCUGUAGCUGUGCAUCCCUUCAAUUUAUUCUCCAUUUUUGGCUUUUUCAAUUCCCAGUUAUGAACUAACGAGUUAAAUGUAAUUUUGUCAGUUGAAAUGGUAGUCAACUAUUAUAGUCAGAAGUGAGAAAUUUUUCUUCUGGGUUUGCCAUAUGGGCAGUUCUUCUUUGAUGUAGUGGUUGCCAAUAUAUCUUCUUUAAUGGUUUCUGGUUUGCUAUCCUAAUUGAUGAAUUAUAUUUUGUGUGAUAUCCUAAGGACUUUAAUAUUGAUUACAGCAUGCUGCAUUUUUGGCAGGUGUGCAGACGGAGAGAAAUAUGUAUAUCGACUGCUUGGGGUAGUGGAGCAUUUGGGAACAAUGAGAGGAGGUCACUAU